UGGGGAAUCUUGGACAAUGGGCGCAAGCCUGAUCCAGCCAUGCCGCGUGAGUGACGAAGGCCUUAGGGUCGUAAAGCUCUUUCGCCAGGGAUGAUAAUGACGGUACCUGGUAAAGAAACCCCGGCUAACUCCGUGCCAGCAGCCGCGGUAAUACGGAGGGGGUUAGCGUUGUUCGGAAUUACUGGGCGUAAAGCGCGCGUAGGCGGACUAUUAAGUGAGAGGUGAAAUCCCGGGGCUCAACCCCGGAACUGCCUUUCAUACUGGUAGUCUAGAGUUCGAGAGAGGUGAGUGGAAUUCCGAGUGUAGAGGUGAAAUUCGUAGAUAUUCGGAAGAACACCAGUGGCGAAGGCGACUCACUGGACAGUUAUUGACGCUGAGGUGCGAAAGCGUGGGGAGCAAACAGGAUUAGAUACCCCUGUAGUCC
rnacentral:rRNA from 1 species